UGUGUGUUUCUUUUCUCUAGAUGUUGUGCUAUGGAGGAAGCUGGGAUGGAGCUGGCUGUUAACUACAGAGCUGCUGUUUCAGGAAUCAUGUGCAAAUGAACAGCAGGAGAAGCAACGCUAGGAGGUCUUAGAGGCACUGGAUCACAGAUCUCUGCUUGGGUUUGUGUUUCUAAUUCUUAGAAACAUGUAUAAUUCCAACUUUCACUGUAAAUAACAAUAAGCUUGAACAAAUAAGCUCAAGAGGUGAAAUUUGUCCAUGAAACCAGUUUGGGUUUGAGAUACUAAGUCUGGUUCUGC
rnacentral:lncRNA from 1 species